GCACCCCCUGCCCCGCGCACAAUCCUGGUGCAAGGCUUCGACGGCUUCUGAGCCUCACUUACCUGCUGUCUCGGACUGGGCCGCACACCUGCAGCGGGCUCACGUUAAAGACCUGGAACCUGUGCGGCCGCCUGCGCGCACCCACCCGGAUUCACUAGGGCCGUAACCACUUCCGUUCCUGCGACAGGCCUGGAGGACGUAAUCCCAGCUGGCGUGUGGGAACGGGCAACGCCAUUUUGUACGGAAGCUACUGGGGCAGGUGAUGCCUACCCAGUCUCUCUCCUCUGUUGAACAAAGGAUCUGUUAAAAUUGGAAGGGCUUAACGUCUUCUUCAGAAAAGUGACGCAUUUGUUACUGGGAUGGUAAGGUUCAGCAAAGUCUAUGUCAUUCUCUAAUCCUUUUGAUCCAGCGGAUUCUUUGGAGGAAUUUGAAUACAUAUUGGAUUUUGCAUCCAGGUUUGCAAGAGGAAAAUACAAAGGUGACUUCUGGGCCUGCUGGAGGUGGAGGGUAGAGGAUGGACAGCUGACAUCUAGUCACAGAGGAAAGAACACAGAAAGAGAUCUCCAGUUAAAGCUGAUAGAUUGAACCACACACAACCCACCUCCUUCUAAAAUCCCUCUAGAACAAUGGUUUAAAAAAAGUACUUUAACAUAAAGCUUCAAAAUCAAAAAGAUAAGGAAAAUGAUGAAAACCACUCAGAUAAGAAGAGAGGAUAUUUAUGCAGAGGCUGCCGUCGUUGGGAGUCCGCCACCAUACCACCAUACUUUGGUGAGACUUGAAGGCAGGCAGGGAGUGGAAACACUUUAUGCUGUAGUGAACAAAGGGGAAGGCUUCGGUAUGCUCUGACUGGAGAUCAUUGUCAUGGGGAAACUGCAGGUGGGCUAACUAGAGGCUGGGCUUCUUGUGUAAUGGUUUGGCUUUCUCUGGUUGGUCCUGUGUUGAAAAUAGGGGCAAAAUAUAGGGAAGCUGACUCAUUGACCAAGCCCUGCCCAGGCUGGCCGAUUGCAGAGGUUGUGGGUCAGAGUUCUAUUGUCAUAUAUGGUCUGGCUACUGUCUGUUUAUAUAAUCCGUCUCUCAGAGAACAGUAGAGGAGAUCAAAUUAUUAACAUUUUGGAAGCUGGAAAGCAGGAGGAUAGUGUGAGCUGAAUUAGCAGACUUGCCAUCUAUCAAAGGGGAUAGCCAAAAGCAAGCCAGAUUUGCCCCAGAGAACCACCAAAGGUUCAAGAAUUGGCAGCACCAGGUGCCCCCAGAAGCAGGGAUAAAGUGGGGGCUGAAAUUGGACAGUUGGUUCAAAGUCUAUUUCAGAAGCAUUAGACCACUGGAUUUCUUCCCCAGCUCCCAAAUGACUGCCUGGUGCAAAAGACUCAGGACUGAUUCCCUGGAGAGAGUAGGUAGUUCUUUGUCUAGUUAAGGAUAGGAUGCCAUAACAAACAUGCCAAUUCAGUGAAAGUACCUACUUUCAAGACUCCUGCUUAACUCCCCUAAAUCAGCAGCCAAUGUUAGAAGCCAAGUGUUAAAGUUUUUCAGAUAAUUUUGCUAUAAGCCUAUGGGGAAAUUUCAUUACCAUCUCAUAGCAAGGCCUAUAGUAUAAGAGCAGGCCUAUAGUAGCAUAUGGGGGAAAGUCUAAAAGACUUUGAAAUGGACCAAAAGAUUAUUGAGAAAUGGAAAACUGCAUUGUUUUAAG
rnacentral:lncRNA from 1 species